GACGAACGCUGGCGGCGUGCUUAACACAUGCAAGUCGAACGGAAAGGCCCUGCUUUUGUGGGGUGCUCGAGUGGCGAACGGGUGAGUAACACGUGAGUAACCUGCCCUUGACUUUGGGAUAACUUCAGGAAACUGGGGCUAAUACCGGAUAGGAGCUCCUGCUGCAUGGUGGGGGUUGGAAAGUUUCGGCGGUUGGGGAUGGACUCGCGGCUUAUCAGCUUGUUGGUGGGGUAGUGGCUUACCAAGGCUUUGACGGGUAGCCGGCCUGAGAGGGUGACCGGCCACCUUGGGACUGGGAUACCGCCCCGACUCCUACGGGAGGCAGCAGUGGGGAAUAUUGCCCAAUGGGCGGAAGCCUGAUGCAGCAACGCCGCGUGCGGGAUGACGGCCUUCGGGUUGUAAACCGCUUUCGCCUGUGACGAAGCGUGAGUUACGGUAAUGGGUAAAGAAGCACCGGCUAACUACGUG
rnacentral:rRNA from 1 species